rnacentral:rRNA from 1 species
AGCGGAGGAAAAGAAACCAACAGGGAUUGCCCCAGUAACGGCGAGUGAAGCGGCAAAAGCUCAAAUUUGAAAUCUGGCCUCCUACGGGGGUCCGAGUUGUAAUUUGUAGAGGAUGCUUCGGGUGUGGCCGCCGUCUAAGUUCCUUGGAACAGGACGUCAGAGAGGGUGAGAAUCCCGUCUUGGGCGGCCGGUCCGCGCCCGUGUGAAGCUCCUUCGAAGAGUCGAGUUGUUUGGGAAUGCAGCUCUAAGCGGGUGGUAAAUUUCAUCUAAAGCUAAAUACUGGUCGGAGACCGAUAGCGCACAAGUAGAGUGAUCGAAAGGUUAAAAGCACCUUGAAAAGGGAGUUAAACAGCACGUGAAAUUGUUGAAAGGGAAGCGCUUGCGGCCAGACUCGGGGGCGGGGUUCAGCGGGUGCUCGUCGCCCGUGCACUCCCCGUCUCCCGGGCCAGCAUCAGUUUCGACGGCCGGUCAAAGGCCUCCGGAAUGUGUCGUCUCUCGGGACGUCUUAUAGCCGGGGGUGCAAUGCGGCCCGUCGGGACUGAGGAACGCGCUUCGGCUCGGAUGCUGGCGUAAUGGCCGUAAGCGGCCCGUCUUGAAACACGGAC